UACGGAGGCAGCAGUAGGGAAUCUUCCACAAUGGGCGCAAGCCUGAUGGAGCAACACCGCGUGAGUGAAGAAGGGUUUCGGCUCGUAAAGCUCUGUUGUUGGAGAAGAACGUGCGUGAGAGUAACUGUUCACGCAGUGACGGUAUCCAACCAGAAAGUCACGGCUAACUACGUGCCAGCAGCCGCGGUAAU
rnacentral:rRNA from 1 species